CCUACGGGUGGCUGCAGUGGGGAAUAUUGGACAAUGGGGGGAACCCUGAUCCAGCCAUGCCGCGUGUGUGAAGAAGGCCCUCGGGUUGUAAAGCACUUUCAGUGAGGAAGAACGCCUGGUGGUUAAUACCCAUCAGGAAAGACAUCACUCACAGAAGAAGCACCGGCUAACUCCGUGCCAGCAGCCGCGGUAAUACGGAGGGUGCGAGCGUUAAUCGGAAUUACUGGGCGUAAAGCGCGCGUAGGUGGCUUGAUAAGCCGGUUGUGAAAGCCCCGGGCUCAACCUGGGAACGGCAUCCGGAACUGUCAAGCUAGAGUGCAGGAGAGGAAGGUAGAAUUCCCGGUGUAGCGGGGAAAUGCGUAGAGAUCGGGAGGAAUACCAGUGGCGAAGGCGGCCUUCUGGACUGACACUGACACUGAGGUGCGAAAGCGUGGGUAGCAAACAGGAUUAGAUACCCUAGUAGUC
rnacentral:rRNA from 1 species